rnacentral:rRNA from 1 species
AUGCUCCAAACCUCCUGUUUAUCUGGGAUAGUGUUGGUACAAGGAUGCCCUCUUUCACCUUAUUUGUUUGUCCUUGCCAUAAAUGAGCUCUCAAUAUCCUUGCAAGAAGCCAUGACAGCCAACCACUUGUCAGGUAUAUCUCUUGGACCUUAUUGCCCCCCAAUCCAUUCUCUCAUGUUUGCUGAUGAUCUCCUUGUUUGUGGUCUGGCCACGAUAGAGGAAGCUAAUACUAUAAAUGAGAUUAUACGUUCUUUUUGUAUUAUCUCUGGUCAAACCCCCAACUGGACCAAAUCAGGUAUUCUGUUUAGUAAAGGUGUGGAUCCUAGUAUACAACUUGCAAUCAGAAAUAUCUUUCCAGUUCCCAUCAUUGAUAAUCAUUUCACUCAUUUAGGUCACCCUCUCAUUCUCCCAGCUAAAGAUAGGUCCUCAGCUUAUAAUUUUGUUAUUGACAAAUUCAAAUCCAAGCUCCCAACCUAUAAAGCCAAUAAACUUUCACAUGCUGGUAGACUCACUCUUAUUAAUUCAGUUUUUGCUUCUAUUCCCAUUUAUUAUAUGUCAAAUAUUCUCUUCCCCAAAAAAUUCUUGGCCAAACUUACUGCUAUCAUUAGGAACUUCUGGUGGACAGGAGUUAGGGAAGAAGCUAAUGCCAAAUCUCUUUGUCUUAGAGCUUGGAAGGACAUUUGUGCUCCAAAAAAUGAAGGGGGACUAGGAAUCAAGAAUAUUCAAGCUACCAACAGGUGUCUCAUUCUUGCAGCUGCUUGGAGAAUUGUUGAAAAGCCUGACAGCCAUCUAUCAAAAAUCUUAAAAUCUAAAUACUUUCCUGACUCCUCUCUUUGGAGAGCCAAUUAUAAUGUUCCCAAAUCUGCCUUUUGGGCCUCCAUUCUUAAAGUUAGGCCAAUUCUUAUUAGAAAUUCUUUUUUCCAAAUCAGGGCUGGCAAUAUCUCUCUUUGGAGCUCUCCGUGGUUUAACACUUGGGAAAGUAUUUAUGAUCAUCUCAUAAUUCAAGAUAAUGAUUUUAUCUAUCCGGCUCUUAUUAGAGAUCUUUGGAUUCCAGGGCAGAAAAAAUGGAAUGCUAAUCUCAUAGAUCUUUUAUUUGAUUCUGAUACAGCUAAUUCCAUCAAGCAGGUGCCAAUCAUACAGGAAGAAGGUGAAGAUAUUUUAUGUUGGAAACACACACCAACAGGGAAAUUCACUACAAAAAGUGCAUAUAAAACUUGUUUCCAGGUCUUGCAAGAGGAAGGAGAGCCACAACCUAGAACUCUAAACAAUAAUUUAAAAGAACUCUUAAAGCAGGUAUGGAAGGACAGAAAUAUGGCUCCUAGAAUCCAAACAUUUGCAUGGAGACUGGUAAGAAAAGCUUUACCUACAGGGAAGAGAGCAGGAAUGACAAAGUUUUUCAAAGAAAAGAUGCAUCUCCAAUACAGGUCUUCCAUGCGGCUCAAGCAAUCAUAA